rnacentral:lncRNA from 1 species
AUUACAGGCAUGAGCCACUGCGCCCGGCCAGAAACAGACAUUCUUAUUCCUACAGAGCCCGUCAUGACAACAGCUGCCCUGCAGCACCUCUUCCAGACAUCACAAUGGGAAACAGGAAAUACGCUGUCCCUCUCCAACCUCUGCCUUCAUCUCCCCUCCCCUUGUACAAGUUCCUUCACAGAAGUUCUUUCACAUAAAUUUUGUGCAAAUGGAUUCCUGUGGACUUCAACUCUGACAAGUCUGAAUCCCAGUGGAAAUGCAAGUUAGCCUCAAACUGAGAACCUCAUACUACAUUCAGAAUAUGUUUUCAUGUUUCCAAAAUGUCACCAACAAUGAGAUGACAGGAACCUGAACCAAAAGGAUGAGAGUAGAGAUGGAAAGUAAAUGUUGUUACAAAGGCUAAAUCAGAAAUUUGUCCCAGAUCUAGUAUGGAUCAUGAAGAAGAAGAUAGAAUGAAAGAACACUCUUACCAUUCUGAGUGCCGAAAGCAGGAGGUGGUUCCUAAAAAUAUGAAGUUUGGGUAUCCUAUACAAUGAGAGAAGAAUGUCUAUCUUCAUUAUGUUCAAGUACCCAGAUAAAUGAACCUGCUGUUAUAAGCUCUUCAAGAAUGCCAUUAUCAUUGCUUACCCAGGCUUUUGGAGAUUAUUUUGCAGACUUGAAGAGGUGCCAAGUUCUGUGUUCAGAUUAGUACAGGGAGAAAACAGAAUGUUCCAGAGUUUCAUAACUUAGGGGACAGGGUGGGAGAGCCAAUAUCAGAGUCAGAUGUAGUCAUAUUUCUUUGUGGUUUCUCAUAAUGUUUUUAAUGAAUUUUUUAAAAAUACCUCAUGUAAACUGUAAUAUGGAUAAUUAAAACCAGAGAAGCAGGAGAACUCUAAAUGCGACAGAAAGACCCUCACAAGAGGGAGACGCAAACUUAGAAGGUAGA